rnacentral:rRNA from 1 species
AAUAUUGUACAAUGGAGGGAACUCUGAUGCAGCAACGCUGCGUCAGUGAAGAAGGUUUUCGGAUCNUCAGACUCUGUCAUUGGGGANGAAUAAAUGACGGUACCGAAUGAGGAAGCGCAGGUUAACUACGUGCCAGCAGCCGCGGUAAUACGUAGGGUGCAAGCGUUGUCCGGAUUUACUGGGCGCAAAGGGUGCGUAGGCGGUAGAUUAAGUCAGAGGUGAAAGUCCAGGGCUCAACCCUGGAAUUGCAUUUGAAACUGGUUAACUUGAGUGUGGGAGAGGAAUGCGGAAUUCCUAGUGUAGCGGUGAAAUGCGUAGAUAUUAGGAAGAACACCAGUGGCGAAGGCGGCUCUCUGGACUGUAACUGACGCUGAGGCGCGAAAGCGUGGGUAGCGAACA